UCUACGUGGUCUGCAUGAUUGACUGCACUGCUAUCCACAUAAUAGUGAAACGGUCUGCAAGCGGUUGCAAUCAAGACUCAAAGUGAAAUUUUCUCCGAGUAUGUAACCAAAGCAAUUAACUCAGAUGUAUUUAAAUGUGGUGGAGAAUUUUUUUUACAGUAUUAGUAAAUGAAGUUAUUCAUAUAUUCAUCAAAUAAUGAAUGCCAAAUACAUCGUUCUUCUCAUCAUCUUGGUAGCAAUGUCUUCGGUAUGUGAAGAACUCCAGCAGUUUGUACGUUGGGCAGAAACAAAUCUAACAGAAGACAUUAGUCAAUCAGUGAACCGCAUCAUUCGCUGCUCAGGAUGCAAACAAUCUACUACACGAGAAAAUAAACGCACAAGACCCAAACUCUCACGCAAAGGUCCACUGCCUUUUUAAAAUCAGACACUCUGCUGCACGGAGCACUUAUUUUCUGCAAAGAUCAUAUCCUGUGCCAUCUACGAAUAGAACAACAAGGACAAACAUCCUUUUAAGAUCUGCUUGAGGAAUACAAUCUAUUUUUCUGUUGGGAUGCAUAAGAGAUCAGUUUCAGCUGCUUGCUACUGCUGCCACAGAAGGAUCCCAUUUUUUCCAGAUGUGAAUGCGCCACUUGAGUGAAUAUAAUCAAAAGGUCAAAACAAAAUGCAACAUGAUUUGAGACAGACUGUUCACGACAUAUAACCACCAUUUUCCCCACAUUCAGUACUCCAAGGAAGACCAAUUCUAGCUGUAAGCAAAAACAACUAUUCAGCUGUUUCUAUUAAACAAGCCCAGUAAAGUUCAAAUAAUUGAUGUGUCUAAUAAUUAGCUUUAAAAAUGGCAACCAUCUGACAUUUAAAAAUGCAAAUAUUGUUUCUCCAAGUAAAUGCAUCAUUAAAGAGUAUUUCAGAAGUGAAAUACUGUCAAUUACAGGGGUUCUUCUUGAAUUAUUCACUGACCAUGUAAACAGCUGAAUACAUGCUGGCAAAUCAGAGCUGAAACAUGAUCUAAGAUUUAAUGAAAGAUCUUCAGGUACAUAUUAGUGCUACAAGGUUGUACUUUGCUAUUUUCUGUUCUGAGCUUUUCAAGAGGAGACAUAAAUCUUGCCACAUAUAUCCUGAGAACAUUGCUUAAUACCACAUAAAAAAACAAUUUUUAUGAAAUAUUUGAACAUUUCUAACAUCAAUAUUUACACAUUGAA